AUGGAAUCCAGCGACCCCAGCCCCGCCGCAGUAAGUAAGACGCAAGAAAUAUCCGUACCACCUGUGGAGGGUGUAGCUGGAGGAGGCACUAGUUAUGGCUGGGUGGAUGGAGGCUUACAGGGGUCGCAUCUAGGUUCUAGUGUGAUUGACCCUACUAAGGUGCACUCGGCAGAUCUUUUGCAUGUGUGGUCUAUGCCCAGCACAGCAAAUGUUAGCCAACAAGAAGCACCUCGACCUCUAGAGCAUGUUAACCUUUUGGCAGCAAGAAAUGAAAGGGAAAGUUUUCAAAUCGCGUUACGUCCAAAAGUUUCAUGGGCCAGUUCAGGUAUUGCAGGGCCUGUGCAGAUUCAGUGCACUGAUCUAUGCUCAUCCUCUGGAGGCAGGUUAGUGGUUGGUCAAUCUAUAACGUUGCGACAUGUGGUGCCUAUAUUAGGUGUACCAGAUGCCCUUGUGCCUAUCGAUCCUUCCAGUCCGCAAAUAAACCUACUUCCUGGGGAGACAACUGCAGUAUGGGUCUCACUAAAUGUUCCUUGUGGGCAAGAACCUGGUCUAUAUGAAGGAGAAAUAUGUAUUACUGCUGUGAGGACAGACUCAGAUUCCAAGGCAGACUCGUUACCAAAAUCUGAGAGAUACCAGCUGUAUAAAGACUUAAAGACUUGUCUUGAUAUCACUGAAUCCAGAGACCACUCUUCGUCAGAGGAAAUGUGCUAUAACAUGCAGAUACUAAGACUAUCAUCAACUUCAACCACACUGAGGAGGAUGCUAGUGCUUCCAGCAUUCCAGGACUGCCAUGAGAAUAAUGGAUUAGGAGACAUGAUGGAUGAAGAUGUUAUGAACAAUGUUGCUGUUCGUGUAAAGUUAAGCCUGACUGUGUGGGAUUUCACUCUCCCAUUGACACCUUCCUUACCUGCUGUUUUUGGUAUAUCUGAAACUGUCAUUGAAGACCGGUUUUGUUUGGAGCAUGGCACCAAAGGGUGGUAUGAUGCACUGGAUCAUCACUUCAGGUGGCUCCUCCAGUACAGAAUCAGUCCAUUUUUCUGCAGAUGGGGCGAUAGCAUGCGUAUUCUUGCGUACACAUGCCCCUGGCCUGCUGAUCAUCCAAAGGCUAAUGAAUAUUAUUCUGAUCCAAGACUCGCAGCAUAUGCUGUACCUUACGCGCCUAUUCUGUCAUGUACCGAUGCAGCAAAAAAUUCUCUGCGAAGAGAGGUUGAAAUCUUGAAAACAGAGGCUCAUUGGUCGAAAGCUUACUUCUACUUGUGGGAUGAGCCAUUGAAUAUGGAGCAGUACGAAGUGAUCCGCAACAUCUCUAACGAGUUAAGGACAUACACACCUGAUGUGCGUAUUCUAACAACUUAUUAUGCUGGUCCAAGUGGUUCUGAACUGGCUCCUUCUACGUUCGAGGCUUUUACGAAAGUUCCAAAUGUUCUACGUCCGCAUACACAAAUCUUUUGCACUAGCGAAUGGGUUCUUGGCACAAGAGAGGACUUAGUGAAGGAUAUUAUUGCUGAACUACGACCUGACCUUGGUGAAGAGUGGUGGACAUAUGUUUGUAUGGGGCCUUCUGAUCCUCAACCAAAUUGGCACCUUGGGAUGCGCGGAACCCAGCAUCGGGCAGUGAUGUGGAGAGCAUGGAAGGAGGGUGGCACAGGAUUUCUUUACUGGGGUACCAACUGCUACGAGAAGGCUAUGAUACCAAGUGCCGAGAUCUGUUUCCGACGCGGCCUUCCUCCAGGCGACGGGGUUCUGUUUUACCCUGGCGAGGUGUUUUCUUCGUCAAAGGAACCAGUUGCGUCCCUCAGGCUUGAACGCAUUCUCAGUGGCAUGCAGGACAUUGAAUACUUGAACCUUUACUCCUCAAAGUACGGCAGGGAGGAGGCCUUGGCCCUCCUGGAGAAGACUGGCGCGUAUCUUGGCCCGGAUCGCUAUGCACAUGAUCAUGGGCCAGUUGAUGUGAUGCGCGGUGAGGUAUACCGCACCUGCAGAUCUUAG
rnacentral:rRNA from 1 species